AAACGACUCUCGGCAACGGAUAUCUCGGCUCACGCAUCGAUGAAGAACGUAGCAAAAUGCGAUACUUGGUGUGAAUUGCAGAAUCCCGUGAACCAUCGAGUUUUUGAACGCAAGUUGCGCCCGAAGCCAUCCGGUUGAGGGCACGUCUGCCUGGGCGUCACACAUCAC
rnacentral:rRNA from 1 species